rnacentral:misc_RNA from 1 species
GAUGAAGAACGCAGCGAAAUGCGAUAAGUAAUGUGAAUUGCAGAAUUCAGUGAAUCAUGGAAUCUUUGAACGCAUCUUGCGCUCCUUGGUAUUCUGAGGAGCAUGCCUGUUUGAGUGUCAUUAAAUUCUCAACCGCACUGACUUUGAAUUGGUGUGGCUUGGAUUUGGGGGGAAAAUUGUUGUGGGCUUUUUUGUAUAGUCUGCUCCCCUGAAAUUGAUUAGCGGUACCUUUGUGGAACUGUCUACAGGUGUGAUAAUUAUCUACAUCCUAGACAUCUGCUGGAAUGCUGCUUUCUAAACCUUACUUGUAUUGACAAUCUUGACCUCAAAUCAGGUAGGACUACCCGCUGAACUUAAGCAUAUCAAUAAGCGGAGGA